rnacentral:rRNA from 1 species
AUUAAACGCUAGCGGGAUGCCUUACACAUGCAAGUCGAACGGCAGCACGGAUUUCGGUCUGGUGGCGAGUGGCGAACGGGUGAGUAAAGUAUCGGAACGUGCCCAGUAGCGGGGGAUAACUGCGCGAAAGCGUAGCUAAUACCGCAUACGCCCUAAGGGGGAAAGCGGGGGAUCGCAAGACCUCGCACUAUUGGAGCGGCCGAUAUCGGAUUAGCUAGUUGGUGGGGUAAAGGCCUACCAAGGCGACGAUCCGUAGCUGGUUUGAGAGGACGGCCAGCCACACUGGGACUGAGACACGGCCCAGACUCCUACGGGAGGCAGCAGUGGGGAAUUUUGGACAAUGGGGGCAACCCUGAUCCAGCCAUUUCGCGUGUGCGAUGAAGGCCUUCGGGUUGUAAAGCACUUUUGGCAGGGAAGAAAAGGAUUGGGCUAAUACCCUGAUUCGCUGACGGUACCUGCAGAAUAAGCACCGACUAACUACGUGCCAGCAGCCGCCGUAA